UGCGGGUUACGUUGGAAAGGUUUCACGAUGGCCUCAUACGCCAUGUAUAAGGGUUCGAGUCCCUUACCCGCUA
rnacentral:tRNA from 1 species